CGGCUGGCUCCAACUAUAACACAACAACAACGACAACAACAACAACAAUAACAAGGGCCUAUGGCGGCCUCUCACCAGACGGAGGUACAAAAUAAAACUUUAGCUGAGAAUAUGCCUCAAAUGUUUAAAGUGCCUGUUAAGUAUAAAGAAAGCCCCCCGAGGAGGUGAAGUAUUUGAAUCCAUUAGUCCCAAUGUAUUCCUCCUGCUCCUGCUACCUGGGUUGUGUUUGUUGAAGCCAAUGAGGCCCUCACUGAUCGGUUGGAGUUGACAGUUUGCAGCGGGACGACACCAGCCCGGGGCAGGGCCCCUGUGUCGCUGACAACGCCGCUAUUUUAUUUUGUUCUGUGUGUGUGAAUAGGUUAUUUAAGAAGGCAAUAAGUGUCCGGAUUGAGUCUCCAUUUGUAAUUGGCUUUCCAUACAGUACAGUGAUAUAGGAACUUUAAUUUUCUCCCCCAGGGCCGCCGGGAAGAAGCUCUUUUCAUGGGUUAUCCCCACCGGCCCUGGGCUACUCUCCGCCUCGUUAAGUCACAAGUAGAAAUCAGUUUAUAAAUGAUAACAAUAUAGCUCUCUGGAGAAAUGUCUACACUGUACAUCACCCUGAAGAGGAAGCCAAAGCAGUGUCUUUUCCAUAGGAAACCUCUACUGAAGGCAAAUGAGUCAUGAUACCACGGGAGGCUGACCUCUCAAACAUUGUAAGGGCCCUGGAAGUCACACCGAACUCCACAGCUCACAACGCCAACGUGCCUUCCAGGCUGUCCUCAACCAGGCACCACACGACCGCAGAAGAAGAGGGAGAAAGGGUCAAGACAGAGGAUCCUAAAGCCACACAACAAUGUGCUAUCAUACAAUACCUCAUGUAAUCACAUGGCUUCAAACAGACCCAUCGACUAGUCAGGCCACAGAUCCACCUGGACAGGAAAUAGCCCACACCGGGGCAGGAAGUAGACCUUACCCCGGGCUGGACCGUAUCUUAUUCUAGCAAGUAAUAAUCAAGUACAGCGCAGCAUUCACCCCAGGCCUCGUAGCAGCAAAUGGAAGGAAAAAAAAAUGCUUUUGUUUUUUUCUUUUUUGGAACAAAGUGCUUUUUGUCUUUAAACAUAUAAGAUAUCAUAUUCUUUACAUAUAUCUAUAUCGAACAUUGAGAAGAUACAUCUUAACUUAUAGGCUAUUUACAAAAAUGAAUGACAACUAUGGAAUAAUCUAUCGGGGGGAGAAGAGAGAAAGCGAGAGCGAGACAAAGAGAGAGAGAGCUACAACUGGACUCCUGGCAAAUAGAAUGAUGAACAAGUUAUGGUUGUAGUUUAAGAAAAAGCACCAUUACUCCCUUCUUGGACAGAAUCAAACUGCAGGAGUAAAACCAGAUCACGUGGAACAUAGCUGUUCUCCAACCAUCAGCACAGGGACGCUUCAAGGUCACCGAAAGCAUCAAAGGACGUAACAUAAGAGCUCCCCCCCGACCACAACGGGCGCCUGGGUCCAGCCAAGACGGCCCGGGUGGCCCCUGAGGGAGGAGCCUUGGUGGUAGGAGGUGCCAGUAUUCAGGGCUCCUCAUCCUAGGGUCAGGAUGAAGGGUCAAUCAGCUGGGGCUGGUUUCAGUUCGAGCUGAGGUUGGACCAACUUCAGACCAGCAGGACGUCACCUUCUCCCAUGCCUUGAACUGAAAGGGCGCUCCACUCCCCCUCAGUGGGAGGUGCUAGUGAACACCAUCGUCCCCCUGUGGGGCUGAAUCAGGCUUUAUGGCACAAUGCUCCAGAGGUCUGUCUGUGUCUGGCUGUUAGUCUGUCUGUCUGUGUCUGUCCGUCCGUCCUGGGCCGGUUGUCAAAGACCAGCAUGGGCACCGUUGAGAUUUUGUCUUCAGUCUGACCUCAGGCAGUACAUGUCCAGGAAGGUCCUGAGAACCCUCCUCCAAACCUCCACGUCUCUAUUCUAGUGAAACCAGAGGGGGUCAAAGGUUAGAACUCCCCCCCAUGAGAGCCCCCGCUGAGGCGUAUCCUAUGAAACACUUCCGAACCAACAGCAAAGAGCCAAUGGGCAGCUAAAAUACAAAAAUAUAGCAAGGACCUUUUUUUGCUUGUUUUUUUGUACUCUUUCUAUUCAGUUUAUCGUCUCCAAUGCAAAGAUAGUUUAGAAAUGUGUCAUGCUUCAUAACGAAUCAAUUGUCAUGGAAAAGAAAGUGGCAAAUCACCAAAGAUAUAGGGCGUGACUAUAUACAGUGUUUCAAAAACACAUUUCAACACAAUUCAGUUAAUAUUCUGCUCAUAAACAAAAUUUCCAUACAGAAAUAUAGUUAACACAAAUACAUAACAUUUUGGUUAUUGUCAGUGAAACUUUGACAAAACAAAGCAAAAACAAGACGGAAAUCCAAUAUAGCUUAUCCACUAGCGCUUGUCCUACUCAAACCCACCACAAACAAGCUAGUAGCAGGAGGACUCAGGAAUGAAGCGUUACUUAGCAACAGGUCUACUUGUGAAGCCCACUAGGAUGGUAGGAAGUUCAUUAGUAAAUAAGAAAACAAUAAAAGAAAGUUAAAGAGUAGAUUUAUGCUCCUUUUCUGUACAGAAUUGGACCCAAGCUAAUUUCACAGUUCUACGAAGUUCCCUGCCCCCCCCACACGUGUUACAUUCAAUACGGCGUCAGGUAAGCUGUGCAAAUCCUUACUUUUACUGGCUAGUCGCCAUUUCGUUGCAUGUGUCUUUGGUACAAAAACAAUCAAAAUAUAUAGUGUGCAAAUCUUUUUUUUCUUUUGUAACUAAAAUAUCGUCUAAUCUCUCCCGUUCCCAAAGACAAGAGUACCAAAAACCAAAGUCACCUUUUGCAGAGCCCUCCUAUAUACACAGACUCUGUGGCAUCACACGUUGGUAGGUUCCUUUUCCAUGUACAUUCAGAACAUAUUUUUACAGCUGAACUACACAACCCCAACGCUGUGUCCUCGGGUGACCUAUGUUGCUCGUAGACCCGCCCACUCAACAUCAAGUGGUUCUGAUUGGCUGAUCCUUCGGGAGCUUGGACCAAUCAUGUCUCUCGUUUUCUUUUUUUCAUACUUUUUUUUUUAUCCUCCCUACCUCUCCUUCUCAUGCAAACGCACACGCACACAUACGCAUACACACACACACACACACACACACACACACACACACACCCAACACACAAGGCACAAUGAAUAGAACUGGGAUCAAACACCAGUAUGAACCAGACACUGAGUCUAGUCACUUCUUACAACAAAAGGGGAAGUGGAGGGUUCCAGAAGAGAUAACCGUUCACCUCUAGCGCCCCCUGGCUGUCUGCUCCUCAAUGGCGAUUCAAACCAGAGCUCCUAGCCAUCAGAGCGGGCUCCUUUGCACCGUCGCUCCCAUUUCUUUCUAUUGAGAGGACGGCUCUUAAAUGGUAUGUGUCGGAUUCUUGAUGGGCUCUCUAAACGUAGAAUAGCAGGGCUCCGUUGGUAACUUCAUAAUCAUACAUCGAAGCAGGUCAUCUACAUUACACAUGCUCUAGCUUUGCUGCACUGGUUGUACAGACCGGGGCCCGUCGGGUGUUGACGCGGUUAAACACACGGCCGUCUCCAAGGUGAAACGUGGUUAUGGUGACCUCAGCGGCCACCUUCCUAGACCCAGCCAUGACCCAAAGAGCUGAGCCCUCACAGACCCAGACACAGCGUUACGCUAAACACCAGCCACCACAGAUCAGCAAUGUCCUUGGCUCCACACAUCAUCCCCGCAGGCUCGUCGAUCGGUGGUGAGAUGAGGACAUGGUCCCUGGGACCCAGCUGCGGACAGCGAGGACAGAGGGUAGGCGUGCACGGCACAUCCACACACACAAGGGAAGGGACGCGCUUGUGUGUGGUGUGUGUGUGUGUCUGUGUGUGUAUGUGUGUUUGUGGGUUCUAGUGGGGAGGGGCAUGCAGGAGGACAUAGUUACAGUGACAUAGUACGGUGGUAACUGGCCACUCCUAUCCGUGGACCGGACCCCCGACGUCUAGCACUUGGAGGUGGGAACCCGCAGGCCCACCAGGCCCCCCCUGGGGUCCCCCUGUCCCGUGUUCUCCAAGAUCUGGUUCACAAAGUCCGAGGUCUGCCCGGCCACGGGGGAGGACACUGCAAGGACCAGGAGAAGCGCAUUAUAGGCUUUACCCCAAAGAGACCACAGAAACAGAAACACACCGUCAUCCACUGGGGCCUUCUCUGCUAUCUGUAAAACUAACUCAUCACGCUAUUCAUCUCAUUUAUUCAUUUAGUGCUAAUACAUUUAAAUUACUUUAAAUUCCUCUGCUUUAUAUUUGAAUCAAUUAAAAAGAUCUCUAGGUAAGAUCCCAAAGCAUUAGGGAGAGAGAGAGCAGG
ensembl:lncRNA